CUCCGUGCCAGCAGCCGCAGGAAGAGAGAGGAAGCCAGUGUUAUCCGGAAUCACUGGGCGUAAAGCGUCUGUAGGUGGUUUAAUAAGUCAACUGUUAAAUCUUGAGGCUCAACCUCAAAAUCGCAGUCGAAACUAUAAGGCUAGAGUAUAGUAGGGGUAAAGGGAAUUUCCAGUGGAGCGGUGAAAUGCGUAAAUAUUGGAAGGAACACCGAUGGCGAAGGCACUUUACUGGGCUAUUACUAACACUCAGAGACGAAAGCUGGGGUAGCAAAUGGGAUUAGAUACCCCAGUAGUCCUAGCUGUAAACAAUGGUUUUUAGAUGUUGAACAGAUCGACCUGUGCAGUAUCAAAGCUAACGCGUUAAGUAUCCCGCCUGGGAAGUAUGCUCGCAAGAGUGAAACUCAAAGGAAUUGACGG
rnacentral:rRNA from 1 species